GGGUUGUGAGGUUAAGCGACUAAGCGUACACGGUGGAUGCCCUGGCAGUCAGAGGCGAUGAAGGGCGUGCUAAUCUGCGAUAAGCGCCGGUAAGGUGAUAUGAACCGUUAUAACCGGCGAUACCCGAAUGGGGAAACCCAGUGUGACUCGUCACACUAUCAUUAACUGAAUCCAUAGGUUAAUGAGGCGAACCGGGGGAACUGAAACAUCUAAGUACCCCGAGGAAAAGAAAUCAACCGAGAUUCCCCCAGUAGCGGCGAGCGAACGGGGAGGAGCCCAGAGCCUGAAUCAGCAUGUGUGUUAGUGGAAGCGUCUGGAAAGGCGCGCGAUACAGGGUGACAGCCCCGUACACAAAAGCGCAUGUGCUGUGAGCUCGAUGAGUAGGGCGGGACACGUGGUAUCCUGUCUGAAUAUGGGGGGACCAUCCUCCAAGGCUAAAUACUCCUGACUGACCGAUAGUGAACCAGUACCGUGAGGGAAAGGCGAAAAGAACCCCGGCGAGGGGAGUGAAAAAGAACCUGAAACCGUGUACGUACAAGCAGUGGGAGCACAGGUUUACCUGUGUGACUGCGUACCUUUUGUAUAAUGGGUCAGCGACUUAUAUUCUGUAGCAAGGUUAACCGUAUAGGGGAGCCGUAGGGAAACCGAGUCUUAACCGGGCGUUAAGUUGCAGGGUAUAGACCCGAAACCCGGUGAUCUAGCCAUGGGCAGGUUGAAGGUUGGGUAACACUAACUGGAGGACCGAACCGACUAAUGUUGAAAAAUUAGCGGAUGACCUGUGGCUGGGGGUGAAAGGCCAAUCAAACCGGGAGAUAGCUGGUUCUCCCCGAAAGCUAUUUAGGUAGCGCCUCGUGAAUUCAUCUCCGGGGGUAGAGCACUGUUUCGGCUAGGGGGCCAUCCCGGCUUACCAACCCGAUGCAAACUGCGAAUACCGGAGAAUGUUAUCACGGGAGACACACGGCGGGUGCUAACGUCCGUCGUGAAGAGGGAAACAACCCAGACCGCCAGCUAAGGUCCCAAAGUCAUGGUUAAGUGGGAAACGAUGUGGGAAGGCCCAGACAGCCAGGAUGUUGGCUUAGAAGCAGCCAUCAUUUAAAGAAAGCGUAAUAGCUCACUGGUCGAGUCGGCCUGCGCGGAAGAUGUAACGGGGCUAAACCAUGCACCGAAGCUGCGGCAGCGACACUGUGUGUUGUUGGGUAGGGGAGCGUUCUGUAAGCCUGUGAAGGUGGCCUGUGAGGGUUGCUGGAGGUAUCAGAAGUGCGAAUGCUGACAUAAGUAACGAUAAAGCGGGUGAAAAGCCCGCUCGCCGGAAGACCAAGGGUUCCUGUCCAACGUUAAUCGGGGCAGGGUGAGUCGACCCCUAAGGCGAGGCCGAAAGGCGUAGUCGAUGGGAAACGGGUUAAUAUUCCCGUACUUGGUGUUACUGCGAAGGGGGGACGGAGAAGGCUAUGUUGGCCGGGCGACGGUUGUCCCGGUUUAAGCGUGUAGGUGUGUGUUCCAGGUAAAUCCGGUUCACUUUAACACUGAGGCGUGACGACGAGGCACUACGGUGCUGAAGCAACAAAUGCCCUGCUUCCAGGAAAAGCCUCUAAGCAUCAGGUAACAUCAAAUCGUACCCCAAACCGACACAGGUGGUCAGGUAGAGAAUACCAAGGCGCUUGAGAGAACUCGGGUGAAGGAACUAGGCAAAAUGGUGCCGUAACUUCGGGAGAAGGCACGCUGACACGUAGGUGAAGUGAUUUACUCAUGGAGCUGAAGUCAGUCGAAGAUACCAGCUGGCUGCAACUGUUUAUUAAAAACACAGCACUGUGCAAACACGAAAGUGGACGUAUACGGUGUGACGCCUGCCCGGUGCCGGAAGGUUAAUUGAUGGGGUCAGCGCAAGCGAAGCUCCUGAUCGAAGCCCCGGUAAACGGCGGCCGUAACUAUAACGGUCCUAAGGUAGCGAAAUUCCUUGUCGGGUAAGUUCCGACCUGCACGAAUGGCGUAAUGAUGGCCAGGCUGUCUCCACCCGAGACUCAGUGAAAUUGAACUCGCUGUGAAGAUGCAGUGUACCCGCGGCAAGACGGAAAGACCCCGUGAACCUUUACUAUAGCUUGACACUGAACAUUGAGCCUUGAUGUGUAGGAUAGGUGGGAGGCUUUGAAGUGUGGACGCCAGUCUGCAUGGAGCCGACCUUGAAAUACCACCCUUUAAUGUUUGAUGUUCUAACGUGGACCCGUAAUCCGGGUUGCGGACAGUGUCUGGUGGGUAGUUUGACUGGGGCGGUCUCCUCCUAAAGAGUAACGGAGGAGCACGAAGGUUGGCUAAUCCUGGUCGGACAUCAGGAGGUUAGUGCAAUGGCAUAAGCCAGCUUGACUGCGAGCGUGACGGCGCGAGCAGGUGCGAAAGCAGGUCAUAGUGAUCCGGUGGUUCUGAAUGGAAGGGCCAUCGCUCAACGGAUAAAAGGUACUCCGGGGAUAACAGGCUGAUACCGCCCAAGAGUUCAUAUCGACGGCGGUGUUUGGCACCUCGAUGUCGGCUCAUCACAUCCUGGGGCUGAAGUAGGUCCCAAGGGUAUGGCUGUUCGCCAUUUAAAGUGGUACGCGAGCUGGGUUUAGAACGUCGUGAGACAGUUCGGUCCCUAUCUGCCGUGGGCGCUGGAGAACUGAGGGGGGCUGCUCCUAGUACGAGAGGACCGGAGUGGACGCAUCACUGGUGUUCGGGUUGUCAUGCCAAUGGCACUGCCCGGUAGCUAAAUGCGGAAGAGAUAAGUGCUGAAAGCAUCUAAGCACGAAACUUGCCCCGAGAUGAGUUCUCCCUGAGACUUAGAGUCUCCUGAAGGAACGUUGAAGACGACGACGUUGAUAGGCCGGGUGUGUAAGCGCAGCGAUGCGUUGAGCUAACCGGUACUAAUGAACCGUGAGGCUUAACCUUACAACGCCGAAG
rnacentral:rRNA from 5 species